ACUGCUCAGUAACACGUGGAUAACCUGCCCUUGGGUCCGGCAUAACCCCGGGAAACUGGGGAUAAUUCCGGAUAACGCACAUAUGCUGGAAUGCUUUAUGCGUAAAAUGGAUUCGUCUGCCCAAGGAUGGGUCUGCGGCCUAUCAGGUAGUAGUGGGUGUAAUGUACCUACUAGCCUACGACGGGUACGGGUUGUGAGAGCAAGAGCCCGGAGAUGGAUUCUGAGACACGAAUCCAGGCCCUACGGGGUGCAGCAGGCGCGAAAACUUUACAAUGCCGGCAACGGCGAUAAGGGAACCUCGAGUGCCAGGAUACAAUCCUGGCUGUCGUAAUGCCUAAAAAGCAUUUCAUAGCAAGGGCCGGGCAAGACCGGUGCCAGCCGCCGCGGUAACACCGGCGGCUCGAGUGGUAACCGUUAUUAUUGGGUCUAAAGGGUCUGUAGCCGGCUGGAUAAGUCUCUUGGGAAAUCCGGCAGCUCAACUGUCGGGCUUUCAGGAGAUACUGUCCGGCUCGAGACCGGGAGAGGUGAGAGGUACUUCAGGGGUAGGGGUGAAAUCUUGUAAUCCUUGAAGGACCACCAGUGGCGAAGGCGUCUCACCAGAACGGAUCUGACGGCAAGGGACGAAAGCUAGGGGCGCGAACCGGAUUAGAUACCCGGGUAGUCCUAGCCGUAAACGAUACUCGCUAGGUGUCGGCCACGGUGCGACCGUGGUCGGUGCCGUAGGGAAGCCGUGAAGCGAGCCACCUGGGAAGUACGGCCGCAAGGCUGAAACUUAAAGGAAUUGGCGGGGGAGCAC
rnacentral:rRNA from 1 species